rnacentral:lncRNA from 1 species
UGGGGUUCAUGUUGUUUAUUCUUUAGUUUUCUAUGUUGUGUCAUGUGUACUAUUGUUUGUCUGUUUGUCUUUUUCAUUUUUAGCCAUGGUGUUGUCAGUUUAUUUUAGAUUUAUGAGUUUGACUGUCCUUUUGGUAUCUUUCGUCCCUCUUUUAGGGUGGUUCUGAAUGUGACUAUUUUACUUACAGCUUGAUAAUCAAUGUCUGCACCAUUCUGUAGACAUAAUUUUAAGGCUUCUAUAUCUCC